AGAAGAAGCACCGGCUAACUCCGUGCCAGCAGCCGCGGUAAUACGGAGGGUGCGAGCGUUAAUCGGAAUUACUGGGCGUAAAGCGCAUGCAGGCGGUUCGUUAAGUUACGUACGAUAGUGUAAGAACCCGGGGCCGGUCUAACCUCGGAAUUGCAUUUGAAACUGGCAGACUAGAGUACUGUAGAGGGGGGUAGGAAUUUCAGGUGUAGCGGUGAAAUGCGUAGAGAUCUGAAGGAAUACCGGUGGCGAAGGCGGCCCCCUCGGACAGAUACUGACACUCAGAUGCGAAAGCGUGGGGAGCAAACAGGAUUAGAUACCCUGGUAG
rnacentral:rRNA from 1 species